AUUGAACGCUGGCGGCAGGCCUAACACAUGCAAGUCGAGCGGAUGAAGGGAGCUUGCUCCUGGAUUCAGCGGCGGACGGGUGAGUAAUGCCUAGGAAUCUGCCUGGUAGUGGGGGAUAACGUCCGGAAACGGGCGCUAAUACCGCAUACGUCCUGAGGGAGAAAGUGGGGGAUCUUCGGACCUCACGCUAUCAGAUGAGCCUAGGUCGGAUUAGCUAGUUGGUGGGGUAAAGGCCUACCAAGGCGACGAUCCGUAACUCGUCUGAGAGGAUGAUCAGUCACACUGGAACUGAGACACGGUCCAGACUCCUACGGGAGGCAGCAGUGGGGAAUAUUGGACAAUGGGCGAAAGCCUGAUCCAGCCAUGCCGCGUGUGUGGAGAAGGUCUUCGGAUUGUAAAGCACUUUAAGUUGGGAGGAAGGGCAGUAAGUUAAUACCUUGCUGUUUUGACGUUACCAACAGAAUAAGCACCGGCUAACUUCGUG
rnacentral:rRNA from 1 species